rnacentral:rRNA from 1 species
GGGUAAUAAUAGGGGCGAGCGUNUCCGGAAUUAUUGGGNUAAGGGUGCGUGGCGGUCGAUUAAGUUUAGGUUNAAAUGCAAAGNUCACUUUGUAUUGCUNAAAAANUUGUUUGGCUAGAGAUAGGUAGAGGCAAGUGGANUUUCAUGUGUAGUGGUAAAAUGCAUAAAUAUAUGAAGGAACACCAGUAGCGAAGGCGGCUUGCUGGGCCUAAUCUGACGNUAAAGCACGAAAGCGUGGGGAGCAAANCAGGAUUAGAUACCCUGGUAGUCCACGCCAUAAACGAUGAAUGCUAGGUGUUUGGGGAAAACCUAAGUGCCGCAGUUAACGCAUUAAGCAUUCCACCUGAGUAUUACGUGCGCAAGCAUAAAACUCAAAGGAAUUGGCGGGACCUCGCACAAGCGGUGGAUCAUGUUGUUUAAUUCG